AAGACGCUGGAGGGCAACUGUCACAAGUUCGAGAGGACUGAGCGCCAGGGCAUGUCACGGGUGGCGCAGGCGUUGCGCAAUGAGUGAGCCACCCGCCGCAGCUUUCCCGAGCCAGGGCAUGGAGAAGCGCU
rnacentral:rRNA from 1 species